ensembl:misc_RNA Metazoa_SRP Metazoan signal recognition particle RNA
GUCAGGUGCGGUGGUGUGCACCUGUAGUCCCAGCUACUCAGGAGGCUGAGGCUGGAGAAUCGCUUGAGCCCAGGAGUUCUGGGCUGUAGUGCACUAUGCCAACCGGUUGUCCGCACUAAGUUCAGCAUCAGCAUCAAUAUGGUGACCUUCCAGGUGCAAGGGACCACCAGGUUGCCUAAGGAGGGGUGAACUUGUUCAGGUCAAAACUCCAGUGCUGAUCAGUACAGAUCAGCAUUUAUAGGGAUCACAUCUAUAAAUAGCCACUGCACUCCAGCCUGGACAACACAGCAAGACCCCAUCUCUU